rnacentral:lncRNA from 1 species
AGUUUGACGGUGAGCAAGUUGUUAAAGGUGGUAGAACGGUGCACCAAAGAGAUGGAGAAAAAGUGGUGGUGGCAGAAAGGAGAUUUUAGGAAGAAGAAGAAAGUUCUUCUUCAUCUUUUCUUUUUUUGUUUUUUUUUAUUAUUGUUUUUUCCUUCCUUUAUUUAUUCGAAUUUUAUGAGGAAGAGAUGAGUAGCCGCCUAAUGCUCUCUCUUAAUUUGGCUCCCCCUUUUUAGUACCAAUUUCUCCCAUUUAUAUACCCUCAUUUAGGGUUUCCUCAAAUUAAAAUAAUAUCAACUUUGUCCUUGGGCUUUAGUGU